CUAUACUUGCUAGAGGUUUCUAUUGCCAUGAUUCUAUGAUUAUACUACAUCUUUUAUCAGCUAAUAGCCCAGGUUUAAGACACGUGCUUUAACAUGCUUUGGGUUGAUUUCUACAUGGUUGAUAUGCAAAUUUGAUUGGGAGAAGGGUUAGAGGUGGAAUACCUCUUGAAGCUGCGGCUGCCUUGAGGAAAUCAGCUCUUAAAACCUCAGUUUUCUUCCUCUCAAACUUGCUACUGCUUGUUCUUGGUUCUCACUAGAGUUGCUAAAAUUUGAGAUGUGUAGGAGGGUGUUUAAAGGUGGUGUGGAGGGGAUUUUAUAGGCUGGGCUUUGGCGUACUAUGGGGGAAUUAAAUGGGGCUGAUCUCUCUUGUCUUCAUAUCACAACAUAUCUCUCUUUUUCUGAUCAUGCAGCCCCUUUGUCUUAAUGUAGUUUGUUGGCUAGUUUGGGUACUUGGUACUUGGUGAAUAAAUCCCAUUGUUUGAUUGUGGCUAGGUAUAACAGGUGCUGCAUUAGUGAAGGGCUUUGCAGGCUGGACUUGCCCCCUUUUUGGGUAAGUCCUUGGUCUUCAUAGGAAAAGAAAGGUGAGAGAGGAAUCUUAGCUCCCACCUAGCUGCACUUCGAGCGGGCCUGGAUUUGAUGUCUGGGCCGACGGGCUGCCCGAAACGGGCCCUAAAUUGGGCCUGGAGAAAAGGCCCGAAAUGCACUCCACAUUUUAUAUUUUCCUUUCCUUGUUUUCUUUCUUUAAGGACUUUGAUCCAUGUAACCUAUUCCAUUAGUUGUUCAUUUUGUUG